rnacentral:rRNA from 1 species
AACGUAGGAGACGAACGUUAUCCGGAGUUACUGGGCGUAAAGGGCGUGUAGGCGGUUUGUUAAGUCUGGCGUGAAAGCUCUCGGCUAAACCGGGAGAGGUCGUUGGAUACUGGCGAACUAGAGGAUGGUAGAGGCGUGUGGAAUUCCGGGUGUAGUGGUGAAAUGCGUAGAGAUCGGCAGGAACACCCAGGGAGAAAUCAGCCGCCUGGGCAAGUGCUGACGCUGAGGUGCGAAAGCGUGGGGAGCGAACCGG